GACAGAGGGUGCAAACGUUGCUCGGAAUUACUGGGCGUAAAGCGCGUGUAGGCGGACCGGAAAGUCGGGCGUGAAAUCCCUGGGCUCAACCCAGGAACUGCACUCGAAACUUCCGGCCUUGAGUGGUGGAGAGGGUAGUGGAAUUCCUGGUGUAGAGGUGAAAUUCGUAGAUAUCAGGAGGAACACCGGUGGCGAAGGCGGCUACCUGGACACUAACUGACGCUGAGACGCGAAAGCGUGGGGAGCAAACAGG
rnacentral:rRNA from 1 species